rnacentral:rRNA from 1 species
GAUGAACGCUAGCUACAGGCUUAACACAUGCAAGUCGAGGGGAAACGACAUCGAAAGCUUGCUUUUGAUGGGCGUCGACCGGCGCACGGGUGAGUAACGCGUAUCCAACCUGCCCAUCACUUGGGGAUAACCUUGCGAAAGUAAGACUAAUACCCAAUGAUAUCUCUAGAAGACAUCUGAAAGAGAUUAAAGAUUUAUCGGUGAUGGAUGGGGAUGCGUCUGAUUAGCUUGUUGGCGGGGUAACGGCCCACCAAGGCAACGAUCAGUAGGGGUUCUGAGAGGAAGGUCCCCCACAUUGGAACUGAGACACGGUCCAAACUCCUACGGGAGGCAGCAGUGAGGAAUAUUGGUCAAUGGGCGAGAGCCUGAACCAGCCAAGUAGCGUGCAGGAAGACGGCCCUAUGGGUUGUAAACUGCUUUUAUAAGGGAAUAAAGUGAGAGUCGUGACUCUUUUUGUAUGUACCUUAUGAAUAAGGACCGGCUAAUUCCGUG